rnacentral:misc_RNA from 1 species
GAUGAAGAACGUAGCGAAAUGCGAUAAGUAAUGUGAAUUGCAGAGUUCAGUGAAUCAUCGAAUCUUUGAACGCACAUUGCGCCCGCCAGUAUUCUGGCGGGCAUGCCUGUCCGAGCGUCAUUUGUACCUUCAAGCUCUGCUUGGUGUUGGGUGUUUGUCUCGCCUCUGCGUGUAGACUCGCCUUAAAACAAUUGGCAGCCGGCGUAUUGAUUUCGGAGCGCAGUACAUCUCGCGCUUUGCACUCAUAACGACGACGUCCAAAAGUACAUUUUUACACUCUUGACCUCGGAUCAGGUAGGGAUACCCGCUGAACUUAAGCAUAUCAAUAAGCGGAGGA